CAUUGCACUUCGUUUUUCGUCAACAAUGUGAAUAUUUUUAGGUGUUACCCGCGACAAUUCUUGAUGGAUGGGCUCUUCUGCCCUGCGGGUUUUCGUCAUCUUUACUUUUAUACGAGGGUUCUGCUUGUGUUCAGCACUACCGCGCUCCACGACUUCCGCAACACAAGUCAGAACUUUGUCCUGCUUGUUAGUCUUUGUGGUUAACGUAGCACGAACCAACCGAAGUGAGUGCAUUCGAAGACGACGAGCUGGCUGUAAUGCUGAACUAGACUGAACUCGCCCUAUUUUGUGUCCUUUCGUUCUUGCAUGGAUUAUAGCGUUGCGAGCGCGCGCACGUGUGUCAGUGACUAUGCAGCUUGUAGCGUUCCCACUUUAUGGCACAAGAAAAAUAUAACUGCAAUGUUUACUUCAUGUAUACAAUUCCAAAUGCAAUCGUCUGCUGAUGUACAAAUUUCACUUGUGUUUUGUCCUAAAUAAGCAGCAAAACGUUUAGCCUAGUAGGUGCUUCAUCUGGGAGUGCAAUCACGACUGCUUGGCAUUUAUUAAUGAAUGAUUUUGACUGGGUCACCUCAUUUGUAAUUGCAGAUCUGUCUUUCAACUGACUUGAUGCUCUCUUAUUUUGUUCCUUUCACUCCAUAGACGGCUGGACAUCCUUCUUGUACCUUGGCGCUAGCUGGAAGAGGGGACCUCAUCAUGAUCAGUAUAGGCCAAUGUAUUGCUUGCCUGUGUCUACAAGAACCUUCACGCGUGGCCUGUGACAGCAAGCUUUUGUGAGCAGCCAGUGCAGCUCUACGAAGGCUGGCCUGCUCUGGCAGCGGCGGCAAUCAUCUUCAAGAUUUAUCUGUGCUCACCUUUGCUGCUAUUUGUCACUCUCGUUAAUCACACUUUCUGCAUCUUUUCUAAUUUAUUAGAUAAUAAAGUAUGACUAUGUGA